GACAGAGGGGGCAAGCGUUGCUCGGAAUUACUGGGCGUAAAGGGCGCGUAGGCGGGAUGGCAAGUCGGUCGUGAAAUCCCUCGGCUCAACCGAGGAACGUCGAUCGAUACUGCUGUUCUUGAGGAUUGCAGAGGAGACUGGAAUUCCCGGUGUAGCGGUGAAAUGCGCAGAUAUCGGGAGGAACACCGGUGGCGAAGGCGGUUCUCUGGGCCUUACCUGACGCUGAGGAGCGAAAGCGUGGGGAGCGAACAGG
rnacentral:rRNA from 1 species